UACGGAGGGGGCUAGCGUUGUUCGGAAUUACUGGGCGUAAAGCGCAUCGUAGGCGGCUUUGUAAGUUAGAGGUGAAAGCCCAGGGACUUAACCCUGGAAUUGCCUUUAAGACUGCAUCGCUAGAAUCGUGGAGAGGUGAGUGGAAUUCCGAGUGUAGAGGUGAAAUUCGAUAGAUAUUCGCAAGAACACCAGUGGCGAAGGCGGCUCACUG
rnacentral:rRNA from 1 species